CAGAGGACAUAGCAGAGCCCAGGGAGGACCCCCCCUCCCCUCCAACAGCAGCACCAGUGUGCCCCGCGCAGCCCACUCACCAGCCCAGGUACAGGCCCGCUGUCCGCCCAGCUGCUCCAUGUCGACCGUCUUCGACCCGCUGCACAAGGGGGCGGACCAGGAACCUCAGGGGGACCAGAGCGCGUGCCAGAAGGCCACAUACGUGGGCCUGGUGGCGCCUCGGCCCUUGCUCCCAUAAAGGGCCCGGGGCGAGACAUCAGGACUUAAAGAAGCAGGCGGGCAUGAGUGCCGGCCUGUGCUCAUACGGCCCGCAGGGAAUGUGGCUGCGAGGGAGGCCCCAGCAGAGGCCUGGCCACAGGGGGUGGGAGGGGGAGAACCUGCGGCCAAACCAGGGUGAAGGGGAGAAAUUGCCCAUGCAGGUGCCAGCCAUCCAGGGCAGCUGAGGAUGGCAGAAAAGUAAGUCUUGUCCGUUUAGCUGUGCUGACUCCCCAGGGCCUUAGUUCUGUGUGCUGGACCACACUAGCAGUCGUGACAUUGACUUUGGACCCUUGAGCAACAGACCAGGUCUGUUUUUCUUUAGCCCAGGUAAGACGCUUCUGACGUUGUUUGUUGUUCAGGAGCGGCUUGACAAGAGGAAUACGAUAUCUGAAGCCCAUGUCCAGGAUCAGUCUGUGUGUGGUGGCUCUUGAUGCACUGACUCCAGCCUCAGUCCACUCCUUGUCAAAGUCCCCAACGCUUUUGAAUGGCCUUUCCCUGACAAUCCUCUCCAGGAAAAAAACAAACAAAAAAAACUGAGGGCAAUGUAAGGAGGCAGGAGGCAGCACAAUGGUGUUGGGAAGGGGGGUGGGGGUGGAAUUGCAAUCUUCCCCUUGUAGGUGUUCUGCAUAGCCACCUGCAAAAAGAUUGAAGGUUUAGCAUGCAGUGCUUGUUUACGACAGAUGUAUUUUAUGCACAGAGUUGACAUUGGACACCCGUAACAGAAACACUGCACAUUCAGACUCCUACCACCAUAAUCACUUCAAAUCAAUGUAGUAGUCAUGGUGGUUAAAGUAAUCCUUUAACAGUAUCAAUUUCAUGCAUGUAUAGACAGCUGUAAUAGUGAUAUCCACAUAUGAACUUUAUUAAUAUCAGCCCAUCCAAUAGACUGUAGCUGGGUAACAUCUUUUGCCUAAAGGGUUAUUCACUAAACUCAAAGCUGUAAAGAAUUGAAAUCUGGAUGAAUUCUUGAACUGUGCAUUAGUCACAACUACGUUUUCUCAUUCAGUUUUUGAUUCACUACGAUUUGCAUUUUUGAGACAGCCUAAGAGCAAACUAGUAUCUAAGGCAAGAGCUCCCUCUGCAGUCCAGUUCAAUGUUGGAUGUGAGUGAUCCUUCAAUCCAAUAGGCCUUUUAAAGGACAACUGCCAUCACAGUUUCACUUCUUAAGUGUUUAUUACAUUUAAUGAAACUUAAUAAUAC